rnacentral:misc_RNA from 1 species
UGUACUAGCUGCUCACUGCCUG